UACGGAGGGAGCUAGCGUUGUUCGGAAUUACUGGGCGUAAAGCGCGCGUAGGCGGCUUUGUAAGUUAGAGGUGAAAGCCCGGGGCUCAACCCCGGAACUGCCUUUAAGACUGCAUCGCUUGAAUCCGGGAGAGGUGAGUGGAAUUCCGAGUGUAGAGGUGAAAUUCGUAGAUAUUCGGAAAAACACCAGUGGCGAAGGCGGCUCACUGGACCGGCAUUGACGCUGAGGUGCGAAAGCGUGGGGAGCAAACAGG
rnacentral:rRNA from 1 species